AUUAAACGCUGGCGGCAUGCCUUACACAUGCAAGUCGAACGGCAGCACGGGGGCAACCCUGGUGGCGAGUGGCGGACGGGUGAGUAAAGCAUCGGAACGUAUCCUGGAGUGGGGGAUAACGUAGCGAAAGUUACGCUAAUACCGCAUAUUCUGUGAGCAGGAAAGCAGGGGAUCGCAAGACCUUGCGCUCUGGGAGCGGCCGAUGUCGGAUUAGCUAGUUGGUGGGGUAAAGGCCUACCAAGGCGACGAUCCGUAGCGGGUCUGAGAGGAUGAUCCGCCACACUGGGACUGAGACACGGCCCAGACUCCUACGGGAGGCAGCAGUGGGGAAUUUUGGACAAUGGGGGCAACCCUGAUCCAGCCAUGCCGCGUGAGUGAAGAAGGCCUCGGGUUGUAAA
rnacentral:rRNA from 1 species